rnacentral:misc_RNA from 1 species
GCCCCAGCAUCCUGCCACUUUUCUGUUAAAAAAGCAUUACAAAUGAUGUCAAUAUCAGUGGAAUCUCAGGUACAAAAGGAGCAGUUCCAUAACCCUCAUCAUAAAAAUAUCAUAAUUGUAUGCAGGACACAACACUAGAGUUCCAAGGAACUUCCUUCUAUCACGCUACCAUCUACCAAAGACUCCAAUCUUUAAGGCUGAGAAGAGCUACAUAGCCUCCCAACCAAAAAGCUGACGAAAUGAUCAAAAAUUCUAAACAAGGAAUUGGUGUAAAGUCCUAAACUAGAAGGAUCAAUUUUGACCAAGGAAAAAAAAAAAAGGAAGAAGAAGAUUAAGAAAAAAGGGUUCUCACUUGGUUGUUU